GAGCUGUAGAUUGAGAGAGAGAGAGAGAGACAGAGAGGUGUUGCUGGCCGUUCGAAAGAAGAAGAAAAAGAAGAAGGAGAAGAAGAAAAAAGAAAGUAAGGAAGUUAAUGUGGGUUUCGGCCAUGGGUGCUUGUGAGGUGCAUUGCGGUUGAGUCAAGAAUCCACCGAAGGGUACUCAAGCGAACAAGACAAUGUUGUGGAUGCAGGUACAGAGACGGUAGAUGAGGAUCCUAUUGCCAUGUAUUUGGGCCACGAUGUUUGAGGCCUAGAUGCGUCGGGGGUUGAUUCUGUUGGACUAGUUAUUAGCCCUCUUUAUUAGAGCAUUUAUGUAUAUGCUUAGAUGUUGGUAUUUUGUCCAUGGCUCGUGUCGCAUAUGACACAUUUGUAUAGCCAUUCUUUUGUAUGUAAGCAUUAUUCACAUAGAUGUAUUGUCAGCUCAAAUGUGUUAAGUUAUGUCUAUGUUAUUUAUAUUCG